rnacentral:rRNA from 1 species
AUUGAACGCUGGCGGCAGGCUUAACACAUGCAAGUCGAGCGGGGUGAUGGUGCUUGCACUAUCACUUAGCGGCGGACGGGUGAGUAAUGCUUAGGAAUCUGCCUAUUAGUGGGGGACAACAUCUCGAAAGGGAUGCUAAUACCGCAUACGUCCUACGGGAGAAAGCAGGGGAUCACUUGUGACCUUGCGCUAAUAGAUGAGCCUAAGUCGGAUUAGCUAGUUGGUGGGGUAAAGGCCUACCAAGGCGACGAUCUGUAGCGGGUCUGAGAGGAUGAGCGGCCACACUUGGACUGGGACACGGCCCAGACUCCUACGGGAGGCAGCAGUGGGGAAUAUUGGACAAUGGGGGGAACCCUGAUCCAGCCAUGCCGCGUGUGGGAAGAAGGCCUUAUGGUUGUAAAGCACUUUAAGCGAGGAGGAGGCUCUUUUGGUUAAUACCCAGGAUGAGUGGACGUUACUCGCAGAAUAAGCACCGGCUAACUCUGUGCCAGCCGCCGCCGUAA